rnacentral:rRNA from 1 species
AACGAACGCUGGCGGCAGGCUUAGCACAUGCAAGUCGAGCGAGGGCUUCGGCCCUAGCGGCGGACGGGUGAGUAACGCGUGGGAACGUGCCCUUCUCUCUGGAAUAGCCCUGGGAAACCGGGAGUAAUGCCGGAUACGCCCUCGGGGCAUGGCUCUUCGUGGGGAAAGAUUUAUCGGGGAAGGAUUGGCUCGUGUCGGAUUAGGUAGUUGGUGGGGUAACGGCCUACCAAGUCGACGAUCCGUAGCUGGUUUGAGAGGAUGAUCAGCCACACUGGGACUGAGACACGGCCCAGACUCCUACGGGAAGCAGCAGUGGGGAAUCUUGGACAAUGGGGGCAACCCUGAUCCAGCCAUGCCGCGUGAGCGAUGAAGGCCUUAGGGUUGUAAAGCUCUUUCAGCGGGGAAGAUAAUGACGGUACCCGCAGAAGAAGCCCCGGCUAACUCCGUG